rnacentral:misc_RNA from 1 species
UCCGACUUAGAAUCGGCAGUCUCCUGUGAAAAAUACAACACAGGACAUGGGUUGCGCUCGUUUACGGACUUAACCGAACACCUCAAGGCACGAGCUGACGACAACCAUGCAGCACCUGUCACCGAGUUCCAAAAGGCACUUCCCCGUUUCCGGGAAAUUCUCGGGAUGUCAAGCCUAGGUAAGGUUCCUCGCUUAGUAUCGAAUUAAGCCAGAUGCUCCACCGCUUGUGUGGGUCCCCGUCUAUUCCUUUGAGUUUUAAUCUUGCGACCGUACUCCCCAGGCGGGAUACUUAAUGCGUUUGCUUUGGCACUGAAGGGGUCGAAUCCUCCAACACCUAGUAUCCAUGGUUUACGGCGUGGACUAC